GAUGAACGCUGGCGGCGUGCCUAAUACAUGCAAGUCGAGCGAAUGGAUUAAGAGCUUGCUCUUAUGAAGUUAGCGGCGGACGGGUGAGUAACACGUGGGUAACCUGCCCAUAAGACUUGGAUAACUCCGGGAAACCGGGGCUAAUACCGGAUAACAUUUUGAACCGCAUGGUUCGAAAUUGAAAGGCAGCUUCGGCUGUCACUUAUGGAUGGACCCGCGUCGCAUUAGCUAGUUGGUGAGGUAACGGCUCACCAAGGCAACGAUGCGUAGCCGACCUGGGAGGGUGAUCGGCCACACUGGGACUGAGAAACGGCCCAGACUCCUACGGGAGGCAGCAGUAGGGAAUCUUCCGCAAUGGACGAAAGUCUGACGGAGCAACGCCGCGUGAGUGAUGAAGGCUUUCGGGUCGUAAAACUCUGUUGUUAGGGAAGAACAAGUGCUAGUUGAAUAAGCUGGCACCUUGACGGUACCUAACCAGAAAGCCACGGCUAACUACGUGCCAGCCGCCGCGGUAA
rnacentral:rRNA from 1 species